rnacentral:lncRNA from 10 species
GGGGAGGGGAGGCCAGGCUGGGGGAGGCCAUGCAGGGUCCGGGGCCGGGCUGGGGGCUGGAGGGGGGCAGUCGCCAGAGAGAGGAUGGUUGGCCAAGCUGGGAGCUGGGGCAGGAAGUCUGUCCAGGAGGCAGUGAGGGGUGAGUGGGGCAGAGACUGCCAAUGCUACUGUGAGGUGGGACCUGGAUUCCCUUUCUGAUCAGACCUGAGCCAGACGUGGAUGAGAGGCCAGGAGGCCUGUAGGUGCGGCCACUGACCUUGUCCUCUUGCGUUCUGCACCCAAAGCCUCAGGCCUCUGCUGGGCAGUGCCUUCCCUGCUCCACCCCUCAGCUGGAGCCUCCCCUCCUGGCCACCUUCCCUGCCCCACAUCAGGUGCCAGACCAGCCGCCUGCACAGGCCUCAAAGGCUGGGCUGGAGAGGGCGGGAAAAGUCCCUCUGGUCUCCGAGCGUCCGCUGGACGGAGCAAGGGUCACACAAUAAGACAGUUC